GCGUGAGUGAAGAAGGCCUUAGGGUUGUAAAGCUCUUUCAGCGGGGAAGAUAAUGACGGUACCCGCAGAAGAAGUCCCGGCUAACUUCGUGCCAGCAGCCGCGGUAAUACGAAGGGGACUAGCGUUGUUCGGAUUUACUGGGCGUAAAGCGCGCGUAGGCGGAUAUCUAAGUCAGGGGUGAAAUCCCAGGGCUCAACCCUGGAACUGCCUUUGAUACUGGAUGUCUGGAGAUCGGGAGAGGUGAGUGGAAUUCCGAGUGUAGAGGUGAAAUUCGU
rnacentral:rRNA from 1 species